AGAGACCGAUAGCGAACAAGUHCCGUGAGGGAAAGAUGAAAAGUACUUUGAAAAGAGAGUCAAACAGCGCGUGAAAUUGUUGARAGGGAAACGAUUGAAGUCAGUCGGACBKWCGGGAAAUCAACUAUCUUGAGUGCGAUUUUGUGGGUGGUGAUGAGCUGUAA
rnacentral:rRNA from 1 species